rnacentral:tRNA from 1 species
UAAAAGUUUUAAAUUAAGGCUGCUAACUUUGAUUUGGGAGUUAAGUUCUUCCACUUUUAU